CUAACAUACAGACCCAUUCAUGGACCACUUUCACUCCCUCUCUUGUUAACCUCAUCUCACGCCUUUUCCUUCAGAAGUUCAUCUGUUUGAGUACAUGAGAAGUUCACAGAAGCUGCCUGAGUGUGUUCACCGAAGUGUUCUUAGAGCUAUGGUGGUACUGAGGGUCAGACUGCCAAUGGACAAACCUGCUGGGCAAAAGGACAAACAGGAAAUACGUCCUCCUCCUUCCUGAUGAAUGCUGUUAAGUUAAACAGCUUCCAUGGACGACAGACUUCAAAUAUUUCCUCUGCUGAAACUAUCAUGAUCUGUGGAAUUAGCUGACAAAAUAAAUUGUAACUUCUGG